AUGGCUCAGGAUGAACGCUAGCGACAGGCUAACACAUGCAAGUCGAGGGGCAUCACGGGAGUAGCAAUACAACUGGUGGCGACCGGCGCACGGGUGAGUAACGCGUAUGCAACCUACCUAUCAGGAGGGGAAUAACCCGGCGAAAGUCGGACUAAUACCGCAUAAAACAGGGGCACCGCAUGGUGAUAUUUGUUAAGAAAUUCGCUGAUAGAUGGGCAUGCGUUCCAUUAGGUAGUUGGUGAGGUAACGGCUCACCAAGCCGACGAUGGAUAGGGGAACUGAGAGGUUGGUCCCCCACACUGGUACUGAGACACGGACCAGACUCCUACGGGAGGCAGCAGUGAGGAAUAUUGGUCAAUGGGCGGGAGCCUGAACCAGCCAAGUCCGCGUGAAGGAAGAAGGAUCUAUGGUUCGUAAACUUCUUUUGCAGGGGAAUAAAGUGCAGGACGUGUCCUGUUUUGUAUGUACCCUGAGAAUAAGGAUCGGCUAACUCCGUGCCAGCCGCGGC
rnacentral:rRNA from 1 species